rnacentral:rRNA from 1 species
UACGUAGGGUGCAAGCGUUAAUCGGAAUUACUGGCGUAAGGCGUGACGCAGGCGGUGAUGUAAGACAGGUGUGAAAUCCCCGGGCUUAACCUGGGAACUGCAUUUGUGACUGCAUCGCUGGAGUGCGGCAGAGGGGGAUGGAAUUCCGGCGUGUAGCAGUGAAAUGCGUAGAUAUGCGGAGGAACACCGAUGGCGAAUGGCAAU